rnacentral:tRNA from 1 species
GGGGACACGACUUAGGGGUAGAGCAUUUGCCUGCAGAGCAAGAAGCCCCGGUUCAAAUUUGGUUGCCCCCA